AGAGUUUGAUCCUGGCUCAGAUUGAACGCUGGCGGCAUGCUUUACACAUGCAAGUCGGACGGCAGCGGGGUAGUGCUUGCACUACUGCCGGCGAGUGGCGAACGGGUGAGUAAUAUAUUGGAACGUACCGAGUAAUGGGGGAUAACCAAUCGAAAGAUUGGCUAAUACCGCAUACGCUCUGAGGAGGAAAGCAGGGGACCUUCGGGCCUUGCGUUAUUCGAGCGGCCAAUAUCUGAUUAGCUAGUUGGUGGGGUAAAGGCCUACCAAGGCGACGAUCAGUAGCGGGUCUGAGAGGAUGAUCCGCCACACUGGGACUGAGACACGGCCCAGACUCCUACGGGAGGCAGCAGUGGGGAAUAUUGCACAAUGGGCGCAAGCCUGAUGCAGCGACGCCGCGUGGGGGAUGACGGCCUUCGGGUUGUAAACUCCUUUCGUUAGGGACGAAGCCGCACCUUUUUUUGGGUGUGGUGACGGUACCUUUGUUAAGAAGCACCGGCUAACUACGUGCCAGCAGCCGCGGUAAUACGUAGGGUGCGAGCGUUAAUCGGAAUUACUGGGCGUAAAGCGAGCGCAGACGGUUACUUAAGCAGGAUGUGAAAUCCCCGGGCUUAACCUGGGAACUGCGUUCUGAACUGGGUAGCUAGAGUAUGUCAGAGGGGGGUAGAAUUCCACGUGUAGCAGUGAAAUGCGUAGAGAUGUGGAGGAAUACCGAUGGCGAAGGCAGCCCCCUGGGAUGGCACUGACGUUCAUGCCCGAAAGCGUGGGUAGCAAACAGGAUUAGAUACCCUGGUAGUCCACGCCCUAAACGAUGUCGAUUAGCUGUUGGGCAGCUUGACUGCUUAGUAGCGUAGCUAACGCGUGAAAUCGACCGCCUGGGGAGUACGGUCGCAAGAUUAAAACUCAAAGGAAUUGACGGGGACC
rnacentral:rRNA from 1 species